rnacentral:rRNA from 1 species
GAUGAACGCUAGCGGGAGGCCUAACACAUGCAAGCCGAGCGGUAGAAUCUUUUCGGAGAUUUGAGAGCGGCGUACGGGUGAGGAACACGUGUGCAACCUGCCUUUAUCUGGGAGAUAGCCUUUCGAAAGGAAGAUUAAUAUCCCAUAAUAUAUUGAGUGGCAUCACUUAAUAUUGAAAGCUCCGGCGGAUAGAGAUGGGCACGCGCAAGAUUAGAUAGUUGGUGGGGUAACGGCUCACCAAGUCUACGAUCUUUAGGGGGCCUGAGAGGGUGAUCCCCCACACUGGUACUGAGACACGGACCAGACUCCUACGGGAGGCAGCAGUGAGGAAUAUUGGACAAUGGGUGCAAGCCUGAUCCAGCCAUCCCGCGUGAAGGAUUAAGGUCCUAUGGAUUGUAAACUUCUUUUAUACAGGGAUAAACCUCUCCUCGUGAGGAGAGCUGAAGGUACUGUAUGAAUAAGCACCGGCUAACUCCGUGCCAGCAGCCGCAGUAA